rnacentral:sRNA from 1 species
GUUUGCACUUGUCGGGGAAGGGUGAGAACCUUCGAUUAAGGUUCGACUCGAGCGAAAGCGAGAGAACGUUGCCAACGGCAACGGCCCGAAGGGUGAGGAGCGAAGCGACGAAUAAUCCUUCCCCCGCCACCA